UACGGGGGGUGCAAGCGUUGUCCGGAAUCAUUGGGCGUAAAGCGUUCGUAGGCGGCAAGGUAAGUCUGAUGUUAAAGCCCGGGGCUCAACUCCGGUUCGGCAUUGGAUACUAUCUAGCUAGAAUGUGGUAGAGGUAAAGGGAAUUCCUGGUGUAGCGGUGAAAUGCGUAGAUAUCAGGAGGAACAUCGGUGGCGAAAGCGCUUUACUGGACCAUUAUUGACGCUGAGGCACGAAAGCGUGGGGAUCGAACAGG
rnacentral:rRNA from 1 species